rnacentral:snRNA from 1 species
AUACUUACCUGGCCCGCUUCUCGAGGUGGUCAAUAUGGCCUCGGUUGUAUGAUUGGUCUUCACCUUGCACUUCGUGAGGGCCUCUCGUAGUCGGCCCUUCGGGUGUCCGGCAGGGCUAAAUUUUUGUAAGGCUGAGGAUUCGCGCACUGCGCGACCUCGGC